UGCCAGCAGCCGCGGUAAUACAGAGGGUGCGAGCGUUAAUCGGAAUUACUGGGCGUAAAGGGUACGUAGGCGGUUAAUUAAGUCGGAUGUGAAAGCCCAGAGCUUAACUCUGGAAUUGCAUCCGAUACUGGUUAACUAGAGUACAGUAGAGGGAAGCGGAAUUCCUAGUGUAGCGGUGAAAUGCGUAGAUAUUAGGAGGAACACCAGUGGCGAAGGCGGCUUUCUGGACUGAUACUGACGCUGAGGUACGAAAGCGUGGGGAGCAAACAGGAUUAGAAACCCCCGUAGUCC
rnacentral:rRNA from 1 species